rnacentral:rRNA from 1 species
UACGAAGGGUGCAAACGUUGCUCGGAAUCAUUGGGCGUAAAGCGCACGUAGGCGGCUUCGCAAGUCGGAUGUGAAAUCCCUCGGCUCAACCGAGGACGUGCAUCCGAAACUGCGGAGCUUGAGUACUGAAGAGGAUCGCGGAAUUCCCGGUGUAGAGGUGAAAUUCGUAGAUAUCGGGAGGAACACCAGUGGCGAAGGCGGCGAUCUGGGCAUUACCUGACGCUGAGGAGCGAAAGUGUGGGGAGCGAAUAGG